rnacentral:lncRNA from 1 species
UCCGCUCCUCCUCCGCCGUCCCCACCGCCGGACAAGCAAAGCAAAGCAAAGCGAGACGUCGCUGGUGGAGGCGACAGAUGCCUUCGUUCUCUCUGAUAAUUACCAACACGCCACUGUCAGCGGUGAUGCGCUGGGACUCUGCAGAUCACCAGGUAAGCGAGCUGCUGCGAGCGUCCGUUAGAGGCCUCCUCGGGAUUUGGGCCAUAAAGUCGAUGGCCCCCCUCCUCGGGCCCCACCACCACGGGAAUUACCCUUCCUGCCACCCCAUUUCCACGUAUUUACCUUGACACCACUGCCCCGCUGAUCCGGAUAGGAUUCUCGAUGACUUGGCGUCCGACGUGGCCCCCCGGAGGAGAUUUCCGACCGUUCGGCUCCCCCCCUCCGGCGGAAGCCCAAGUACUGCGCCGACAGCGGCGCGGACAGCAAGGAAUCGGCUUCCGUCGGGCAGUAGACGGGGGGAGUCGUCGUCUCCGGCUUUCCUCAUGCUGGGCCCUGUAGCUUCCCUCUGUCUUCACUGUCGUUGUUAUUCAUGCGGAAGAAAACAAACCGACCAGAG